CAGUUUAAAUGCUCUAAGGCUGGAGUGCACUCACCAAGUUUAAAGAACACGAGAAAGACCAGCAUGGCUGGAGUUGAGUGAGUGACGGAGAGCGGAAGAAAACAAGGCAGAAAGGCAAUGGGAAGAUCAGCUCAGGUAGCCCACUCUUUCUUUUGGAAAUCCGCCACUGAGAGAAGUCUUGAUUGAAAGGUUGAAUUCCAAGAGUAACAGUCAAGGACCUUUACCUGGUUCUAUGAGAAGAGCGUUCUUCUAGUGAAAAUACAGUGGCAGACUCAAGUGUAAAUGCAAAUAUAGAGGGCCAAUUUGGCAAUGUGUGCCAAAAAGACUUAAAAUUGUGUGUAUAAUUUGAUCCAGAAUGUCUAGCUUUUGUAAUAAUUUUAAGGAAGUAUAUAAGCAUUUUCAGUGAGGAUGUUUAUUAAAUGUGUGUUCAUAAAAAAAA